CCUACGGGUGGCUGCAGUAGGGAAUCUUCCACAAUGGACGAAAGUCUGAUGGAGCAACGCCGCGUGGGUGAAGAAGGUUUUCGGCUCGUAAAGCCCUGUUGGUAGUGAAGAAAGAUAGGGGUAGUAACUAGCCUUUAUUUGACGGUACUUACUUAGAAGGUCCCGGCUAACUACGUGCCAGCAGCCGCGUUAAUACGUCGGUGGCAAGCGUUGUCCGGAGUUAUUGGGCGUAAAGCGAGUGCAGGCGGUUGAAUAAGUCUGAUGUGAAAACCUUCGGCUCAACCGGAGAAUUGCAUUAGAAACUGUUGAACUGGAGUGUAGAAGAGGAGAGUGGAACUCUAGGUGUAGCGGUGGAAUGCGUAGAUAUAUGGAAGAACACUAGUGGCGAAGGCGGCCCGCUGGACUGCAACUGACGCUGAGGCUCGAAAGCAUGGGGAGCGAACAGGAUUAGAUACCCUAGUAGUC
rnacentral:rRNA from 1 species